rnacentral:rRNA from 1 species
UCACUGACCGUGAUAAUGUAGCGUAAUCAAUAGCCAAUUAAUUGUUGGCCGGUAUGAAUGGCGUCACGAAGGCCCCACUGUCUUAAGAAGACCUCCCGUGAAAUUGAAUUCGUAGUGAAGAUGCUACGUCCAAAUUGUAAGACGAAAAGACCCCAUUGAGCUUUACUAGAAACUUGCAUGGCUUAAAUUUAACUUAAAUAAAAAGUUUAGAUAAUGUGGGAGGCCGCUAAAAGGCCAAUGAAACACCACUCUUUUAUUUUUUAAGAGAGCUAACCUACAGGGACAAUGCGAGUUUGAUAGUUUGGUUGGGGCGACCACCUUUUAAAAGGUAACGAAGGUGAGCUUAAGGUCCGUAGUUAAUAACAAGCGGCCUGACUGAAAGGGGGACAUCCCCGAACAGACACUGGGAUUCAGUGGGCUAUAAUGACCCGUCGUUUUAGAGUGAUAUAGGCGACGAUCAACGAAUAAAAGCUACCAUGGGG